rnacentral:pre_miRNA from 1 species
AACUUCAACUGAAAAAGUCAUCAACAACAAAAUUGUAUAAUCCAUCUAUAUCUACAAUUUUUAUUUUGGUCAUUUAUUCAUCCGACAAAGUGAUAGUAACGUUGUUCACAAAAUUUACGUAUCUCCCAUAUGGUUUCAUAAAUUAUAAGAGAGAUGUGUAAAUUUUGUGAACAACAUUAUUAUCAGUUUGUUGAAUGAACGACCAAAAUAAAUUUUGUAGAUCUCGAUCAGUUCUACAAUUUUUGUGUUCAUGACUUUUUCAGCUGAAAUC